rnacentral:rRNA from 1 species
GACGAACGCUGGCGGCGUGCUUAACACAUGCCAGUCGAGCGGUAAGGCCCUUUCGGGGGUACACGAGCGGCGAACGGGUGAGUAACACGUGAGCAAUCUGCCCCUGUCUCUAGGAUAACCACUGGAAACGGUGGCUAAUACCGGAUAUGACCUCCUUCUGCAUGGUUGGUGGUGGAGAAGUCCGCUGGACAGGGAUGAGCUCGCGGCCUAUCAGCUUGUUGGUGGGGUAAUGGCCUACCAAGGCGACGACGGGUAGCCGGCCUGAGAGGGUGACCGGCCACACUGGGACUGAGACACGGCCCAGACUCCUACGGGAGGCAGCAGUGGGGAAUAUUGGACAAUGGGCGAAAGCCUGAUCCAGCAACGCCGCGUGAGGGAUGACGGCCUUCGGGUUGUAAACCUCUUUCAGCAGGGACGAAGCGAAAGUGACGGUACCUGCAGAAGAAGGACCGGCCAACUACGUG